GAUGAAGAACGCAGCGAAAUGCGAUAAGUAAUGCGAAUUGCAGAAUUCAGUGAGUCAUCGAAUCUUUGAACGCACAUUGCGCCCUGUGGUAUUCCGCAGGGCAUGCCUGUUCGAGCGUCAUUUCAACCCUCAAGCCUCGCUUGGUGUUGGGCCCUGCCCGCCGCGGCCGGCCCUAAAGAUAGUGGCGGCGCUGCCUGGCCCUCAGCGUAGUACAGCUCUCGCUCCAGGGUCCGGCGGCAGCCUGCCAGAACCCCCCAACUCUGUGGUUGACCUCGGAUCAGGUAGGGAUACCCGCUGAACUUAAGCAUAUCAAUAAGCGGAGGA
rnacentral:misc_RNA from 1 species